CAUCGACUGUACCUCUUCCUAGAGAUGCUGCCUGGCCUGCUGCGUUCACCAGCAACUUUGAUGUGUGUUACUUGUGUCUUUAACAUUAUUUUGUGCCUGCAGUCCCUGGAGAAGCUCAAACCAUGUUACAUCGAGAUAUGUGAACACUCUAUUGAGAGGAAGUUUCGAACUAAAGAUACAACAUGGAACAGGCCCUUCUGGUCCCUCGAGCCACACCACCCAGCAACCCACCAAUUUAACCCAUGUGACAAUUUACAAUGACCAAUUAACCUACUAACAGAGAGGAAGUGCAGCGGCUGGUGGAUUGGUGUGAGAACAACAACCUAAGCCUCGACAUUGGAGAAGACAAAGGAAAUCAUUGCAACACACAUCAAAGUUGCUGGUGAAUGCAGCAGGCCAGGCAGCAUCUCUAGGAAGAGGUACAGUCAACGUUUCAGGCCUAAACCCUUUGUCAGGACUCAAAGGAAAUCAUUGUGGACUGUAGGAAGUUCAGACAAACCAUCCCCCUCUGCAAAUUCAUGGCUCCUCCGUACAGAGUUAAGUGCAUCAAGUUCCUGGGAGUUCACAUCACGGAUAGCCUCACCUGGUCCCUUAGUAUCACCUCCCUGAACAAGAAGGCAUAGCAGCACCUCCACCUGCCAGGAAGAUUAUGGAAAGCAAAGCUCCCAACCCUCAUCUUAACUGCAUUUUACAGGAGCACCAUUGAGAGUGUCCUGACAAGUUGCAUCUCCAUCUGGUAUGGGAGCAGUCGAGCAUCAGACCUGAAGUCCCUUGUGAGAACAGCUGGGGGGAUCAUAAGGGUCUACCUACUAACUAUCGGGGACAUUUUAUCAGGAGCGUGGCAUAUGCAGGGCCCUUAGAGUUACUAAGGAUCCCACCCAUCCAUCCAGCAUCUUCUUUGACUUUCUACCAUCAGGCAAGAGGCUACAAUACAUAAAUACAAGAACGGUCAGGAUGAGAAACAAUUUCUUCACCCAGGCCAUUAAGAUUCUGAACUCCCUGAUGCAUUGUAUUCAAAGUGUCGCUGGUUAACCUGCUCCGUACUUUACAAUAUUUAAUAUUAAUGCACUUUAGUUUGUUAUUUAUGUGUGGUUCAUCUGUAGGUUUUAUCCUUACCUUCAUAAGUUACCGUGUUUUAUGUGUAUUACCGUGCUUUACAUGCUGGUUUGGAGAAACAUUGUCUCAUUUCAUUAUAUAUUAUAUGGUUAUAUAUGUUAUAUACACGUAUAUAGU